ACUCAGCCUUUCCUGUAUGGGAGGUAAAGUUCUCCAUAUUUGAAACUAUGGCUACUGUGAUAAGUAGGCAGCAAAUGGUGUGUGUAUGAAGAGAGAGAGUCAUGCUUAGCCUGCCUUUUUUUUCCUGGGCAUGGUACUACAUUUGCAAAAACAGCUGAGAUUAGAAGUGAACUUCGCUGUGAUUCCCAGCUCUGUGAACAGUGAGUUUUUGAGGAAUCUUGGGAGACUCGUUUGCUAAUCAGUGCUGAAAUUUGGUCUCCUUCUGUGUCCCCUCUACCCACAACUCUUCAGAUGGUCAUAAGUUUGUCCUGGUGAACAGAUGAAAACAGAAUUCCACCAGGGUGUGGGAUGGGCGAUGGUAGACUUGGAGGCACUCUGAGCUCACUGGAUCAGGUAAACAGAAGUAGACAUCAAACCCAACACUGUUGCCGAGGUCAAAAGGUGCUUGCUAACAGGAACCUGGUGUGACUUUCCUUGGGAGGUCCGGCUAGCCACUGUCCAAUGCCGAUGUGGAUGCUUGGAGCCAACCAUCACACUGAGUUCAGGAAAUCUGUUGGAGGAGCUGACAGAGGAGUGGAUGAAGAUUGCAACCCCAUUGGAAGAACAACAUAGGCUGGCCUGAACACACAGUUCUCCCAGAGACUAUACCAUCAACCAAGGAGUAUACCUGGAGGGAUCCAUGGCUCCAGACACAUAUGUAGCAGAAAAUGGCUUUGCCGGACAGUAAUGGAAGGGGAGGCCCUUGGUUCUGGGGAGGUUUGAUGCCCCAGCAUAAGGGGAUGCUGGAACAGUUGAGGGAAGGGGAGAAGCACCCUCAUAGAGGCAAAGGGGAUGGGGGAGGGGUAACAGGGAUGUGAGAUAUCAUUUGAGAUGUAAACAAAUGGAAUGAUUAAUUUUAAAAAAUGAAAUAAUUUCAAUCUUUCUGCCCUUUCAUGCCAUAAUGAAAUAAAAUCACCCUACUUGUGUAUUC
rnacentral:lncRNA from 1 species